rnacentral:rRNA from 1 species
UUGAACGCUGGCGGCAGGCCUCACACAUGCAAGUCGAGCGGAUGAAGGGAGCUUGCUCCUGGAUUCAGCGGCGGACGGGUGAGUAAUGCCUAGGAAUCUGCCUGGUAGUGGGGGAUAACGUCCGGAAACGGGCGCUAGUACCGCAUACGUCCUGAGGGAGAAAGUGGGGGAUCUUCUGACCUCACGCUAUCAGAUGAGCCUAGGUCGGAUUAGCUAGUUGGUGGGGUAAAGGCCUACCAAGGCGACGAUCCGUAACUGGUCUGAGAGGAUGAUCAGUCACACUGGAACUGAGACACGGUCCAGACUCCUACGGGAGGCAGCAGUGGGGAAUAUUGGACAAUGGGCGAAAGCCUGAUCCAGCCAUGCCGCGUGUGUGAAGAAGGUCUUCGGAUUGUAAAGCACUUUAAGUUGGGAGGAAGGGCAGUAAGUUAAUACCUUGCUGUUUUGACGUUACCAACAGAAUAAGCACCGGCUAACUUCGUG